AGCGCUAAGGGCCCCAGGAGGAGGAAGAGGAAGGUGAAGGUGAAGAAGAAGGGCUUGGGGCAGCCAAGCCCAGCUGAAGAGCCGGAGGGGCCGGGAGUAGGGGCUGCCGGGGGGCUGCUGCUCCCCAACAGGGUCGGGCAGGAGGAGCCCACAGCCAUCGGGAUGGCCACCUCCCUCCCAGCACAGGGUAUGAAAAAGAAAAAAAAGAAGAAAAUCAAGAAUAAAAUCAAGUCACGGGAACCUUCUCUGGAGCAGCAGCGUGAGGAGGUCUCAAGCACCUUUGAUUUGUACCGCCGGGCGAUGCUGGCUCUGAAGAUGAGGCAGGAGCAGAGGAAGCAGCCAUCGGCCAUCGCCCCCUGAGCAGGGAGGGAGGCACCGAGCACGGGCCGUGGUCCCAGAGGAGCCAGGCUGCAGGGCCAGUGGGCCCCACACUCCUGCAGAGCUGCCGGGUGCUCGGCCAGGGCUGGCAGAGCUGGGAAAUGGGUCCUGGGGCAUGAACUGCAUCUUUGUCCCCUGCGUGGCUUGAAAACCAGGGAUCCAGAGGGGCGAGCCAAAAGUCCCUUUGUAAGAUGCCUCUGGCAGCCGGGCUGCAAGCCCGAGUGAAAAGGGAACAGCCAGCCCCCUGCUGCCCCCUGUUCGUAUUCCCUGGAAGACUCCGUCUAAGCCCGGAUUAGCCUGUGCAGGAGAGGAAGAUCCGAGCAAACACCAGGGGAAAGCUUGUCUCUUGAAGGGACCUGUGCCCGGGGAAAGCUGUCUUUGCAGCUCAGGGCUGACCUGGCCCGGCUCUCCCUGCCUGCUGCCUGGUUCCCUGCAGCUGAAGGAGGGAGGGCAGCCCCGGGCGCUCUGCAGAGCAGCUCCACAUCUGGCAGGGCUGUCAGGACCCUGUUCCCACACUGCAGGAGGGUGGUGCCCGUGCUUGUGCACCCUGCAGCCCAUCAGCGAACAUCGAAGUUCAAAGGCAGCUGGUGGCGGAGGCUCCAUCCCCAGGAGCGGUCCUGCUGACCCUGCCACCCUUCCAGGAGGGACAGACACUGUCGCUGGCAGCCUCUGCUGCCCCAGGUGGCCCCUGCCGUGACCCAGGAGGAGAGCAGCACACCCGUCCAAGCCCAGCCUGUGACACGGUGGGGAAAGCUGCCCUCAGCCCUGGAAAUGCUCCACCUGCAGCCCGGGUUGGUGUUUUUCCCGUGACACCUGCAGCAAGCAGCGUUGGAAGCUGAGGUGUGCGUUAGUCACCUCUGCUCCCGCGUUACUCAUUAACAGGAGCUGCCUCUGCCGUCCAGGGGAAGGCAAAUCAGGGAAGCCUUUCCCUUGGCAGGGCUGGAAAGGGAAAGGAAGAGAAACUGGCUGCUCUGCCUUGCCAGCCUGCCAUAAAGCUCUGUCUGACUCUGCUGUA